UCAGGGGUUCUAUUACAUGAAAUAUACAGACGAUCAUACACGAAGCGCAAAAGUGACUUGCGCGAGCUUCCAUUUCAUUGGAUAAAACUGUAACGUGAUCAAUUUCCAAUAUUAGUUGAAGUUUGAAGCUGUCAAUCAUUUUAUUUAUAUUACAAAUUUUAUAUACCAUGUGUCUUACUCAUUAACAUAUUUAAACAAACUCAUCCUUCGGAUUCGUUUGUUUAAAUAUGUUAACU
rnacentral:lncRNA from 1 species